UCUUUUCUCUACAAAGCAAAUCUGAACCAAGUGAAUAAUUAUGCCGAUGGUGAUUUCGUUGUGUCUGUGGAGACUAUGAAAUUGAUUCUGAAUUGAGUAUUGCGUGAAAUAUACCAGUAAGCAUCUAGGGUUUUUCUUCCCUUGCUCGAUUUUUAUCCGCGUUGCUGAGAAGAGAUUAGGCAAAGUUCCCGUUGCAGACCGCAACCUCCACCGGUCGUUCCAUGUGACCAGGAUCUGUCAUCUCUGUUGUGCGGUUCACCGACGAGAUGUCCUAGCCUAAAGCCGGUCCGCUACUUCUGAUUCAAAUCAGCAAAGACCAGUUAUGUCGUGGCAACCAGCUUGCUCGCAGCAAAGAGGUCAUGUCUUUAUAUAUCAUUGAUCUUUUGAUUGUUCUUGGUGUUUGGAAGUGAAGCAAGAAUGGCAAGAACUAAACAACCCAAAGUUGCUACUGAAGAAGUGAAGAACUGUUUGAAGACGAUGAUGAGUUUAAAAAGUUUAAAUUCGAUGAUGGUAAUGUGUCGUCAUUAUCUUGGAUUGGAGGAGGGAACUGGAAAGCCGUAUAAAUGAUCAUCUUUCAUGUUUUGUUUGUAGGGGGUGUUUGGAUACAAAUAUUCAAGGUGGCAGAUGCAUUGAAGGAACGAGGGAUUGAUUUGAGCAGAAAUGUAACUGGUGUUCUUAAGAAUGGGGCUGCAAUAAACUGCUGGAAGGAUUGUUGGAUCAGGUUGAAAUGGAUGGAUCCUAGAUGGAAACCUGGUCAUAGAGUUGGAAAAGGUAGCCAAACAUGGUAGAAGAGUUAGGAGAAUUUACCCAAAUUGUAAUGUUGUGUCAGAAAGUAGUGUUCGGGGUAGGGGAAGAUAGGUAGCAAUGGGUGAUAGAUAUAACAAGGGGUUCACGGUCAAAAGUUUGAAGGGCAUAAUUCAGGAGUUUUGUUGGUAAGUUCAAGCACAGGUCUAUGCAUGGAACAAGUAGGUUCCAAAAAAAGUUGAUGUGCUCGGGUGGUAACUGGUAAGCGAGAUUGGACCUGCUCCCAACACUUCCGACCCUAGCUAAAAGAAAAUUAUUAUUUCCAUCAAUUUUGUGUCUGAUAUGUGGGGUAUACGAAGAAACAAUGGAACAUGUGUUUGUACCAUGUGAGUGGGCACAAUCGGUAUGGCAAAUUGUUUCAGAAUGGUGCAAGAAACUUGCGUUUUUUGCCUUUCAUGUGAAAAACUUGCUGGGAAUGCAUAGAUAUAUUAAUGUGUCAAGGAAAAGAACAGCCAUGCUAAAAAUUCGGUCACGAUGUGGGUUUUGUGGAAGAACCGGAAUGAGCGGGUGUUUAAUCGGAGUACGUCGUCAUUGCAAAAAAAUCGUGGAAGAGAUCAAAGUCCUAUGGAUCUGAAACACGUCAAGAAUGGUUACUCUAACCUGGGUGGUAUGUUGUGAUAUUGGUGCAUAUGAUGAUGUACAUAGGUGAAUGGGUUUACCUAUUUGCUUUCCCUGUUUUGAAUAAAAUACUUUGUUGGUCAUUGGAAAAAAAUGGGUGUUUGGAUACAGUGCAAAAA